GAUGAACGCUGGCGGCGUGCUUAACACAUGCAAGUCGAACGGAAAGGCCCCAGCUUGCUGGGGUACUCGAGUGGCGAACGGGUGAGUAACACGUGGGUGAUCUGCCCUGCACUUUGGGAUAAGCUUGGGAAACUGGGUCUAAUACCGAAUAUGACCACUUCUUGGAUGUUGUGGUGGAAAGCUUUUGCGGUGUGGGAUGAGCCUGCGGCCUAUCAGCUUGUUGGUGGGGUAAUGGCCUACGAAGGCGGCGACGGGUAUCCGGCCUGAGGGGGUGUACGGAAACAUUGGGACUGAGAUACGGCCCAGACUCCGACGGGAGGCAGCAGUGGGGAAUAUUGCACAAUGGGCGCAAGCCUGAUGCAGCGACGCCGCGUGGGGGAUGAAGGCCUUCGGGUUGUAAACUCCUUUCGCUAUCGACGAAGCCACUUGUGGUGACGGUAGGUUGAUAAGAAGCACCGGCUAACUACGUGCCAGCAGCCGCAGUAA
rnacentral:rRNA from 1 species